UGGGGAAUAUUGCGCAAUGGGGGAAACCCUGACGCAGCAAUACCGCGUGAGUGAAGAAGGUUUUCGGAUCGUAAAGCUCUGUUAUUGGGGAAGAAAAAAGACGGUACCCAAGAAGAAAGUCCCGGCUAACUACGUGCCAGCAGCCGCGGUAAUCCGUAGGGGCCAAGCGUUGUCCGGAUUUACUGGGCGUAAAGGGCACGCAGGCGGGUUUUUAAGUCAGAUGUGAAAGGUACCGGCUCAACCGGUGACAUGCAUUUGAAACUGAAAGACUUGAGUAUUGGAGAGGCAAGUGGAAGUCCUAGUGUAGCGGUGAAAUGCGUAGAUAUUAGGAGGAACACCGGUGGCGAAGGCGGCUUGCUGGACAAAUACUGACGCUGAGGUGCGAAAGCGUGGGGAGCAAACA
rnacentral:rRNA from 1 species